rnacentral:rRNA from 1 species
UACAGAGGGUGCGAGCGUUGUCCGGAAUCACUGGGCGUAAAGGGCGCGUAGGCGGCUUGAUAAGCGUGCGGUGAAAGCCCCGGGGCUCAACCCCCGGGUCGGCCGUGCGAACUGUCGAGCCUGGAGCACUGUAGAGGCAGGUGGAAUUCCGGGUGUAGCGGUGGAAUGCGCAGAUAUCAGGAGGAACACCGAUGGCGAAGGCAGGUCGUCUGGGCAUUAACUGACGCUGAGGAGCGAAAGCAUGGGGAGUGAACAGG